rnacentral:rRNA from 1 species
CACGUAGGGCGCGAGCGUUGUCCGAAAUUAUUGGGCGUAAAGAGCUCGUAGGCGGUUUGUCGCGUCUGCUGUGAAAACGCGAGGCUCAACCUCGCGCCUGCAGUGGGUACGGGCAGACUAGAGUGCGGUAGGGGAGAUUGGAAUUCCUGGUGUAGCGGUGGAAUGCGCAGAUAUCAGGAGGAACACCGAUGGCGAAGGCAGAUCUCUGGGC